GGCAUGUGUUUUAAACACAGAUUUAAGAGAUAAUAAUAUUUGAGGACUGGUUGGUUGGGGAGGGUGUAGUAUCUAUGGCCAGUACUGGAUAUAUAAGGGGGAGGGUCGUUCACUGUGGCUUUGCCCUGUGGUGUCACCCCAUGUCCCCUUCCUCACACAGCUGUCUUCUGUUUGUCCCUGUACAAAUAGUCUCUAAGGUGGUGUCAGAAUGGUGUGCAUGUGGAAGAGGAGGAAGGUUGCGUAACAUUAGUGUGUUUGCGUAUGCAGUGGAACAACAUACACUCAACUCCAGCUACUCCCUCCAGGACAGUUACACAACACAAAGUGAAGACGGUAUCCUGUAGAUACAGAAUUCUAGAACUGCCAAUCAGUAGAGACAGAACAACCAACAACUCUCCCUGAUGGCCACCUGCUGCCACUGCAAUCUGAAAACAAGAAAGGAGAGUGAUGUGAGGAUUAUGAGAAUGUGAUAAAACAAGAAAUGAGAUGAUAGAAUAUGUUGUUAAGCAGUUAUUAAUCAAUAAAUGAAUUAAAU
ensembl:lncRNA